UUUAACACAUUUUGUUGUAACAUUCAGUAUGACAACAUUGGCUCAAGACGCGUUUUGUUUUGUUACUGUGAUUACACUCCUUGGCAGUGUCUGCGGAUAUACUUUUAUAGAUCGAAAUAACUUGGAGGACAUGAUAGAUAAAGAUAGACGUAAAGAUUUUUCUACAUUGGAUGAAUUACCUCUCUCCAAAUUCGAUUAUUUUAUGCCAGCAAAUUUAAAUGCUGAGAAUAGCGAGGCUGAUAACAGUCUUUUUAAUGGAAAGAGACAAAUGAUUAAAGACUAUAAAAUGCUAUCAAAACGGCUUACAUGCAUUCCAUAUGGGUGUAGAAUUCCAUUUAAGGAAUGAAGAUGUCGGACAACCAAUUUUGAUAUCAACAGUGGAACAAUAUUAACAUUUCUUAUUUCAUUAAACUUUUAACAUAAGUAUGUAAAACCAUUACGUUUCAUUUUUAUUAAAGCAACAAAUGUGCACACACAAUUCUAUCCUUCUCUUGAGUUGGUAAUGGUGUUAUUUUAUGUAUUUUCUAACCAUGACAAGAAUAUUAAAAUG